CGUGAUGACGAGGCACUACGGUGCUGAAGUGAUAAAUGCCCUGCUUCCAGGAAAAGCCUCUAAGCAUCAGGUAACACGAAAUCGUACCCCAAACCGACACAGGUGGUCAGGUAGAGAAUACCAAGGCGCUUGAGAGAACUCGGGUGAAGGAACUAGGCAAAAUGGUGCCGUAACUUCGGGAGAAGGCACGCUGAUAUGUAGGUGAAGUCCCUGCGGACGGAGCUGAAAUCAGUCGAAGAUACCAGCUGGCUGCAACUGUUUAUUAAAAACACAGCACUGUGCAAACACGAAAGUGGACGUAUACGGUGUGACGCCUGCCCGGUGCCGGAAGGUUAAUUGAUGGGGUUAGCGGCAACGCGAAGCUCUUGAUCGAAGCCCCGGUAAACGGCGGCCGUAACUAUAACGGUCCUAAGGUAGCGAAAUUCCUUGUCGGGUAAGUUCCGACCUGCACGAAUGGCGUAAUGAUGGCCAGGCUGUCUCCACCCGAGACUCAGUGAAAUUGAACUCGCUGUGAAGAUGCAGUGUACCCGCGGCAAGACGGAAAGACCCCGUGAACCUUUACUAUAGCUUGACACUGAACACUGGUCCUUGAUGUGUAGGAUAGGUGGGAGGCUUUGAAGCGUGGACGCCAGUCUGCGUGGAGCCGUCCUUGAAAUACCACCCUUUAAUGGCUGGUGUUCUAACGURGACCCGURAUCCGGGUUGCGGACAGUGUCUGGUGGGUAGUUUGACUGGGGCGGUCUCCUCCCAAAGAGUAACGGAGGAGCACGAAGGUUAGCUAAUCCUGGUCGGACAUCAGGAGGUUAGUGCAAUGGCAUAAGCUAGCUUGACUGCGAGAGUGACGGCUCGAGCAGGUGCGAAAGCAGGUCAUAGUGAUCCGGUGGUUCUGAAUGGAAGGGCCAUCGCUCAACGGAUAAAAGGUACUCCGGGGAUAACAGGCUGAUACCGCCCAAGAGUUCAUAUCGACGGCGGUGUUUGGCACCUCGAUGUCGGCUCAUCACAUCCUGGGGCUGAAGUAGGUCCCAAGGGUAUGGCUGUUCGCCAUUUAAAGUGGUACGCGAGCUGGGUUUAGAACGUCGUGAGACAGUUCGGUCCCUAUCUGCCGUGGGCGCUGGAGAAUUGAGGGGGGCUGCUCCUAGUACGAGAGGACCGGAGUGGACGCAUCACUGGUGUUCGGGUUGUCAUGCCAAUGGCACUGCCCGGUAGCUAAAUGCGGAAGAGAUAAGUGCUGAAAGCAUCUAAGCACGAAACUUGCCCCGAGAUGAGUUCUCCCUGAGACUWUAAGUCUCCUGAAGGAACGUURAAGACKAYGACGUUGAUAGGCCGGGUGUGUAAGCGCAGCGAUGCGUUGAGCUAACCGGUACUAAUGAACCGUGAGGCUUAACC
rnacentral:rRNA from 1 species